GGAAUUCCCCAGCAGCCUAGACCUAUUGCAGCAUAACUAAGGGAGGAUUCGGGGUCCUAACUAUAUCCUUUAUUAAAAAGAAUGGUUUUAAGCCUAAUCUCAAAAAUAAAGAGGAUGUCUGUCUCGUGAAUCCAAACUGGAAGCUGGAUCCACAGGAGAGGUGCCUUGAAGCUGAAAGCUCUGCCUCCCAUUCUGCACUUAAAUACUCUAGGAACCACAAGUAAGCUAGAGUAAGCCCACAAGUAAGCUUACAGUUUCAGGGUGAAGUGCUCUAAUGGGGAGAUACGGUACUAUACGAUUGUUAAAACAAGAUGGUGCCUAUUCAAGACCUAGAAGUAAUACACGCAUGAACUAGUUUGUCAGCAUCACACUGAGACAGGAUUUUUCUAAUUUUUGAAAUAUUGCACAAAUGAAAGAAAGCAGUUCUACAUAUACUAAACUACACGUAUAACUCCAGGUUUUCUCACAGUAUUACUAGAGGCCAAGGUAAUGCAAUCCAGAAUAAGAAUCUGGUUAGAUACCAUGUUUCUAAGAAUAAAAUCUAAUAGAUAAAGUUGGGUGUCAUCUGCAGCAUCUGCGGCACUAAGAUCUAGUAAGGCAGAUACGUUUUCAUUUAUUAUGUAAGUGCUAAAUUACACACGAGUUUGUUCACAGGUGUGUAAAAUACCAAACACUUCUUUAGCCAUUGUCAAGAUGAAAGCCAACGUGAUCUACAGUCACUGCAGCACAGUAGAUGAGAGUGCGGCUGUGAAAAAACGUUUGCACAUUAUUUGGGUGACCUGUAAAGGAUGCAGCUUAGCCCGAGGAAGUAAACUGUGAAGAGUGACACAGAAAAGCAAAAAGUUUCCAUAAGGCAUCUGCUCACAUCAGAAAAACAUAUUUUUAAAAGAUGGCAGCUUCACCUCGUUUCAUCUGCGCCGGCUUUACCUGUAAAACUGGAAAGUUGGACAUGUUUGACUUUAUAACUGCUGCACUUUUAUACUGGUCCAGUUUAGGUUAAGACAUUAUACCUGAUCGUUAAAUCAUUCAUUAACUAGAGGCAAGGGUCAACUUUACUGCUGUUGGGUUAGACGUCACCCAUCUUCAAACUCCUGCCCUCAGUUUGAUUUCAACUAUUACACAAGCUUCAUCACUUCAUUUCACACAUUAGUGACUCUGUUGCACUGACAGCAUCUUUCCACAGACAUAUAAACGCCCGCCAAAGUAAUCAAACCAUUGCUGGUACAUUAUAUUUUCCCAUGAACGCAUUUUGCCAUGAUGACAGAGACAGACUCACAUGGUGAAAAUAGCAGUUGUGACAGAUUUGGUGAGGUUAAGCUGAUAUUUUGUGACAUUAAAUUUGGUGAUAUGUUAAUUUUUUUCUGUGCAGGCAGACUGCUGCUGGUAAGUCACAGAUAUAGAAAUUUGAUAAGAUUAAAUAUAAAGAAAGAAGACUCAUGUUGAGGUUAGGUGAAGUGUAACUGAGAAAGACUGGGUCUGAGACAUCAUCUAGGUUUGCUGUGCGUUGCUUUUAGAGCUGGUUGUGCAGCUCUUUGGCUUUGCAAUCAUCAAAUCCACUUUCUCAGAUCCCAGAGAGUUAUAACUGGACAAAGUUUUGUCGUCCUUGCUGGCAUCUUUUCGUUGUCGUCAUUAUCAGCAGAGUUGGUUGUGCAGUGUGUUUGGUUGGGGUGAAGGAAGAUGAUGUGGAAAUGUGUGAAUCCCAAGUAGAGUGAGUCUGGGAAGAGGAACUGGAAGCGUGACCUGUGAGCAGGUUGUUAACCAUCGUGCUGAGUGUCAGGUGCUUUCUCUUAUGUCUGACCAGUGGCUCUUCACACUUUUUAAUAUUCUUUUUAAUGUUAAAGCCCAUCAGUAGUCAUUCCCACCUGUCUUAUUGAUUUAAAACUGUAUUUUAGUUACUGCAUUAGAAUUACCUGAGCAGGGAUGUUCCAAAGCUUCUUUAGCCUUCUACCAGGAGGUCCAGGAUUGAUGUUGGUAGGGCUGAAUCCAUAAAUUUUGCCCAUUUUGCUCAUCCAGAUUAAUCCAGCCAGAUUAUCCCAGUAAUUACCAUGGAUGAUUCAUGCUUUUAAAUCUGUACAUUUUGGGAGAGUUCUGAUAAACUUACUCAUUUGUAAGAGUCACUGGCAGCACCAAGGUCUGGCUCUUUUUCUGAGUAGGAAGUAGGAAACUUGCUACCAAGUUUAGGAUGGUUUGUGUGCUCUUUGUCCUUUUAAUCCUCCUAGUGUUACAUUUGCCAUAAAAAAGGUCCUUAAAUGUGUGGUGGUUUGAGACAACGAGCGUGAAAUUAUUAUUUUCAAAGUUUUAAAUGCCCAAGAAAACAUUAGAUCUUUUAGAUUAAUACGAUGCUGCUAUAAUGACAUUAGUGGGAUCUAUAGGUGAGCUUUAAUACAAUAGGCCUGCCUUUAAUGCUUGCUUGUUUAUGUUGCGUUAUUUAGGAGAAAAUAUGUCAGGAGAUCAGCAGUGUGCAUACAGAGUGCAGCAGAAGAAAUGUGUGUUGUUGUAACUUAAGACUUUUACGGAACAUUUCCAAUUAUAAAUUGUAUGGAAAAAGACUUUGAAUUGGCACAAAUCUUAAGAAUUCUCUUUUUAAAUUAUGUAUAUCACUGGUUUAUCAUUCAAGCCCUUACUUAUUGUUGUGAUCGCCUUUCCAGUGUCCACAUUCCAGCGCUACAUCACAUAGAAUAAAUGAGGCUCAGUUUUGAGUAUUGAUUUUUACCCCAGCCCACAGCACUGCUCCUUCUGUAAAUUAGCAAAAAAAAAAAAAAGUUUUUCAUGGCCAGUUUAUGAUUUGCGGCUCCAUUAAACCCUUGAGAUUUUAAAAUGU